GAUGAACGCUGGCGGCGUGCCUAAUACAUGCAAGUCGAGCGAACAGACGAGGAGCUUGCUCCUCUGACGUUAGCGGCGGACGGGUGAGUAACACGUGGAUAACCUACCUAUAAGACUGGGAUAACUUCGGGAAACCGGAGCUAAUACCGGAUAAUAUAUUGAACCGCAUGGUUCAAUAGUGAAAGACGGUUUUGCUGUCACUUAUAGAUGGAUCCGCGCCGCAUUAGCUAGUUGGUAAGGUAACGGCUUACCAAGGCAACGAUGCGUAGCCGACCUGAGAGGGUGGUCGGCCACACUGGAACUGAGACACGGUCCAGGCUCCUACGGGAGGCAGCAGUAGGGAAUCUUCCGCAAUGGGCGAAAGCCUGACGGAGCAACGCCGCGUGAGUGAUGAAGGUCUUCGGAUCGUAAAACUCUGUUAUUAGGGAAGAACAAAUGUGUAAGUAACUAUGCACGUCUUGACGGUACCUAAUCAGAAAGCCACGGCUAACUACGUG
rnacentral:rRNA from 1 species